GUUGGCGCAAGUGUGGUGGAUCUGUGAGGAUGUUUGAGGUGCACCAACUUGCAGUGACUCGGGAGACUCGAGCUAAAUCAAAGAUGUUCUUCCUUGAGAGCCGAGAGGAGCGCUCCCCUGGCAUGUCCCUGCCUUGACAACUUUGGGGGCCACGCGUGCAGGCGUCGAAGGACCUGUCACUGGCGAUAAUGUCAGCUGCAAACUCAGGCGUACUUAGUAGCUUGCUUAUUCUCUUUGAUGGCAUAGUGUAUUACUUUUUUUUUUUUUUUUUUUAGAAAUAUAUUUUUUGAUUUUU
rnacentral:lncRNA from 1 species